rnacentral:rRNA from 1 species
UACGAAGGGGGCAAGCGUUGUUCGGAAUUACUGGGCGUAAAGGGCGCGACAGGCGGCCAUUCAAGUCAGGCGUGAAAGCCCCGGGCUUAACCUGGGAAGGUCGCGCUUGGGGACUGGGUGGCUAGAGAUCGGGAGAGGAGAGUGGAAUUCCCGAGUGGUAGAGGGUGAAAGUUCGAUUAGAUAUUCGGCAAAGAACACCCAGUGG